CACAGGGGAAUGAAGUUCUCCCCGGGAAACCGAACCGCUUGAAAAGCUGAUGACUUCUGC
rnacentral:ncRNA from 1 species